rnacentral:tRNA from 1 species
GGACCUGUAGUUCAAUGGCAGAACAGCGUAGCGCUACAUAAAACAGGGAGAGCAAGAUUCGGGUUCGAAUCCCGGCAGGUCCACUA